GACGAACGCUGGCGGCGUGCUUAACACAUGCAAGUCGAACGGAAAGGCCCUGCUUUUGUGGGGUGCUCGAGUGGCGAACGGGUGAGUAACACGUGAGUAACCUGCCCUUGACUUUGGGAUAACUUCAGGAAACUGGGGCUAAUACCGGAUAGGAGCUCCUGCUGCAUGGUGGGGGUUGGAAAGUUUCGGCGGUUGGGGAUGGACUCGCGGCUUAUCAGCUUGUUGGUGGGGUAGCGGCUUACCAAGGCUUUGACGGGUAGCCGGCCUGAGAGGGUGACCGGCCACAUUGGGACUGAGAUACGGCCCAGACUCCUACGGGAGGCAGCAGUGGGGAAUAUUGCACAAUGGGCGGAAGCCAGAUGCAGCAACGCCGCGUGCGGGAUGACGGCCUUCGGGUUGUAAACCGCUUUCGCCUGUGACGAAGCGUGAGUGACGGUAAUGGGUAAAGAAGCACCGGCUAACUACGUG
rnacentral:rRNA from 1 species